AACGUAGGAGACGAGCGUUAUCCGGAUUUACUGGGCGUAAAGCGCGUGUAGGAGGCGCUACAAGUUGGAUGUGAAAGCUCCCGGCUUAACUGGGAGAGGUCGUUCAAGACUGUAGAGCUAGAGUGAGGCAGAGGUAGAUGGAACUCCGGGAGUAGUGGUGAAAUGCGUAGAUAUCCGGAAGAACACCAGAGGCGAAAGCGAUCUACUGGACCUAAACUGACACUGAGACGCGAAAGCCAGGGUAGCAAACGGGAUUAGAGACCCCGGUAGUCCUGGCCGUAAACGAUGUAGACUGAGCGUUGGUUGGAUAAAACCGAUCAGUGCUGAAGCAAACGCGAUAAGUCUACCGCCUGGGGAGUACGGUCGCAAGAUUAAA
rnacentral:rRNA from 1 species